AUGUUGUAUGAAAGGAGAGAAGGUUAGCCCUCCCCUUGAGAAGGCUGGAAGAGAGGUCCUAGUGGCCUUUACAACACAUAUAAGGUUAGGGUAUGGCCACGUACUUUGUGGCCUCCAACCAAGUUUU